rnacentral:rRNA from 1 species
AGAGCGAACGCUGGCGGCAGGCUUAACACAUGCAAGUCGAGCGGGCGUAGCAAUACGUCAGCGGCAGACGGGUGAGUAACGCGUGGGAACGUACCUUUUGGUUCGGAACAACCCAGGGAAACUUGGGCUAAUACCGGAUAAGCCCUUACGGGGAAAGAUUUAUCGCCGAAAGAUCGGCCCGCGUCUGAUUAGCUAGUUGGUGAGGUAAUGGCUCACCAAGGCGACGAUCAGUAGCUGGUCUGAGAGGAUGAUCAGCCACAUUGGGACUGAGACACGGCCCAAACUCCUACGGGAGGCAGCAGUGGGGAAUAUUGGACAAUGGGCGCAAGCCUGAUCCAGCCAUGCCGCGUGAGUGAUGAAGGCCCUAGGGUUGUAAAGCUCUUUGUGCGGGAAGAUAAUGACGGUACCGCAAGAAUAACGCCCGGCUAACUUCGCGCCAGCAGCCGC